CCAGACUCCUACGGGAGGCAGCAGUGGGGGAUAUUGCACAAUGGGGGAAACCCUGAUGCAGCGACGCCGCGUGAGUGAAGAAGUAAUUCGUUACGUAAAGCUCUAUCAGCAGGGAAGAAAAUGACGGUACCUGACUAAGAAGCCCCGGCUAACUACGUGCCAGCAGCCGCGGUAAUACGUAGGGGGCAAGCGUUAUCCGGAAUUACUGGGUGUAAAGGGAGCGCAGGCGGCGCGCCAAGUCUGAUGUGAAACCCCGGGGCUCAACCCCGGGCAUGCAUUGGAAACUGGCGGGCUGGAGUGCCGGAGAGGUAAGCGGAAUUCCUAGUGUAGCGGUGAAAUGCGUAGAUAUUAGGAGGAACACCAGUGGCGAAGGCGGCUUACUGGACGGCAACUGACGCUGAGGCUCGAAAGCGUGGGGAGCAAACAGGAUUAGAUACCCCGGUAA
rnacentral:rRNA from 1 species